CCACAGAUAUAUCCCUUAACCAAUGUAAUAUGGUGUCUCUUAUUGUCCUGGAAGAGGUGGUCUCCACUGAUAUAUCCCUUAAUGUAUUAUGGUGUCUCCUAUUGUCCUGGAAGAGGUGGUCUCCACUGAUAUAUCCCUUAAUGUAUUAUGGUGUCUCCUAUUGUCCUGGAAGAGGUGGUCUCCACUGAUAUAUCCCUUAAUGUAUUAUGGUGUCUCCUAUUGUCCUGGAAGAGGUGGUCUCCACUGAUAUAUCCCUUAAUGUAUUAUGGUGUCUCCUAUUGUCCUGGAAGAGGUGGUCUCCACUGAUAUAUCCCUUAAUGUAUUAUGGUGUCUCCUAUUGUCCUGGAAGAGGUGGUCUCCACUGAUAUAUCCCUUAAUGUAUUAUGGUGUCUCCUAUUGUCCUGGAAGAGGUGGUCUCCACUGAUAUAUCCCUUAAUGUAUUAUGGUGUCUCCUAUUGUCCUGGAAGAGGUGGUCUCCACUGAUAUAUCCCUUAAUGUAUUAUGGUGUCUCCUAUUGUCCUGGAAGAGGUGGUCUCCACUGAUAUAUCCCUUAAUGUAUUAUGGUGUCUCCUAUUGUCCUGGAAGAGGUGGUCUCCACUGAUAUAUCCCUUAAUGUAUUAUGGUGUCUCCUAUUGUCCUGGAAGAGGUGGUCUCCACUGAUAUAUCCCUUAAUGUAUUAUGGUGUCUCCUAUUGUCCUGGAAGAGGUGGUCUCCACUGAUAUAUCCCUUAACCAAUGUAAUAUGGUGUCUCUUA